rnacentral:rRNA from 1 species
CCUACGUGUGACAGCAGUCGAGAAUCAUUCACAAUGGGGGAAACCCUGAUGGUGCGACGCCGCGUGGGGGAAUGAAGGUCUUCGGAUUGUAAACCCCUGUCAUGUGGGAGCAAAUUAAAAAGAUAGUACCACAAGAGGAAGAGACGGCUAACUCUGUGCCAGCAGCCGCGGGAAUACAGAGGUCUCAAGCGUUGUUCGGAAUCACUGGGCGUAAAGCGUGCGUAGGCUGUUUCGUAAGUCGUGUGUGAAAGGCGCGGGCUCAACCCGCGGACGGAACAUGAUACUGCGAGACUAGAGUAAUGGAGGGGGAACCGGAAUUCUCGGUGUAGCAGUGAAAUGCGUAGAUAUCGAGAGGAACACUCGUGGCGAAGGCGGGUUCCUGGACAUUAACUGACGCUGAGGCACGAAGGCCAGGGGAGCGAAAGGGAUUAGAUACCCGGGUAGUC